GCAUUGGUGGUUCAGUGGUAGAAUUCUCGCCUUCCAUAUGGGAGACCCAGAUUUGAUUACUGGCCAAUGCA
rfam:Loxodonta africana unplaced genomic scaffold scaffold_3, whole genome shotgun sequence.